GAUGAAGAACGUAGCGAAAUGCGAUAAGUAAUGUGAAUUGCAGAAUUCAGUGAAUCAUCGAAUCUUUGAACGCACCUUGCGCCCUUUGGCCAUUCCGAAGGGCAUGCCUGUUUGAGUAUCAUGAACACCUCAACUCUUCAUGGUUUUCCGUGAUGAGCUUGGACUUUGGGGGUCUUGCUGGCCUAUGGUCAGCUCCUCUAAAAUAAAUCAGCUUGCCAGUGUUUGGUGGGUAUCACAGGUGUGAUAACUAUCUACGCUUGUGGUUUUCCACCAGGUAACCUUCAGCAGUGGAGGUUCGCUGGAGCUCACAGAUGUGUCUCUCCUCAGUGAGGACAGCUCUUUGAAUGUUUGAUCUCAAAUCAGGUAGGACUACCCGCUGAACUUAAGCAUAUCAAUAGCGGAGGA
rnacentral:misc_RNA from 1 species